AGCGAACGCUGGCGGCAGGCCUAACACAUGCAAGUCGAACGAACCUUUCGGGGUUAGUGGCGGACGGGUGAGUAACACGUGGGAACGUGCCUUUAGGUUCGGAAUAACUCAGGGAAACUUGUGCUAAUACCGAAUGUGCCCUUCGGGGGAAAGAUUAAUCGCCGUUAGAGCGGCCCGCGUCUGAUUAGCUAGUUGGUUGAGGUAAUGGCUCACCAAGGCGACGAUCAGUAGCUGGUCUGAGAGGAUGAUCAGCCACAUUGGGACUGAGACACGGCCCAAACUCCUACGGGAGGCAGCAGUGGGGAAUCUUGCGCAAUGGGCGAAAGCCUGACGCAGCCAUGCCGGGUGAAUGAUGAAGGUCUUAGGAUUGUAAAAUUCUUUCACCGGGGACGAUAAUGACGGUACCCGGAGAAGAAGCCCCGGCUAACUUCGUG
rnacentral:rRNA from 1 species